rnacentral:rRNA from 1 species
GUCUACGGCCACGCCACCCUGAACAAGCCCGAUCCCUGUCUGAUCUCAGAAGCUAAGCAGGGUCGGGCCUGGUUCGUACUUGGAUGGGAGACCACCUAGGAAGACCAGGUGCUGUAGGCG